rnacentral:tRNA from 1 species
CGGAGCGUGGCGCAGCCUGGUAGCGCACCUGCUUUGGGAGCAGGGGGUCGCUGGUUCAAAUCCAGUCGCUCCGACCA